rnacentral:lncRNA from 1 species
UUCUUACAAAAGUAAAUCUCUCUCUAAAAGACUACAACUAUAUCCUUCUUUAUUGUUUCCCCACAUACGCAUUCUGCUCCUCUAUCUCUCUAUUUCGCUUCCAUUUAGCACCUAACAAACUUCGCCGACGACUCCCACCGGCGUUUAACAUUUUCGGAUAUCCUGCUUUCUCCUGUGAGUUCACACGAUAAGUGCUCUCUCUAUUUGAUCUACUCUUUACUAUUAUAAUUAGUCUUUUGCAAUUUCUCACUAUCUGGUUAUUUACUGAAUAAACGGAAGGUCAAGUAAUUCGUUUACAUUAAGAGGUAGGCGAGUUUUUUUUUUUGGAAAUGUUUUCUAUGUCAUUUGUCUAAAUUUAUUGUUCAUUUUACUUUUCUGGCAGGAAAUUGCUGAUCUAAGCUUGAGGUAAGCUUGAAGUUUUAUUUUUUUGGUUUAAUUUCGUAUAUAUAUAUGUGUGUGUGUGUGUGUGUGUGUGUGUGUGUGUGGCUAACGGACAUACAUGAUACAUAUAAAAGCAGUAGUAUUUCAUUCUUUUAAAUUAUGUUUUUAUGAUAUUUAGUUGUUUACGGUGUUGAAGUUUGAUUCAAGUGUAAGUACUCUGCUUGUUUGUUUAUAUGUUGUUCUAUUUCAGUAUUUUGGUUUGAUUGCAUUAUGAUUUUUUCCUUAUUUUCCCGUUUGGAUAAAUUAUACUCUGUAGCCAGCUGGUGGAGACAAAUUCAAAGGAGGAGGAAGAAUUAAAGUGGUAAAAAUAAAAAGGUUUAAGUAGUAAAUAAAUAAAGAUACUUGGGAUGAAGUUUCAGGCAGAUGAUAUGAACUGUGGGAGAAAAUGUUCAUGAAGAAUCUUUAUUGGUUGGUAGAAAGCAGAUACUUGUUGCAAGUCUGUUUGAUGAAUUAUGUGACCAAAAUCUACUUUUUAUCUUCAUAAAUUUAAUUCUGCUGUGAAAGAGUGUCACCAUUGCUGAAGUUUCAGUAAAUGAAGUAUUUAUGUUACGGACUUACCUGGGAGCUUCCUUCCUUGGACCAUUUUCCAUGGCAUCAGGGGUAAAUUUUAUAUUUGGCCAAUGUAGAUGUAGAUUCCUUUAACGCCUAUGAUAAAAGUUUAGUUUUGGUUCUUACCUGAUAUCAGUAUUAUUGAUGUAGCAUAUAUUCUUUUGUUGUUUUUCAUCUGACCAAAUGGAAUCUGGAAGGAGGUUCUAUUACAGGCUUUAGGAAAUGAGAAAAAAAUCCAGCACGAAAACCACUCGGGAACAGUUUUAUUUUGUCCGAACUCGAUAAUGUUUUCGUAUUUCUGAUAUCAUCUUAUAAAAUUUAAAUUUUUACCCUUUUGGUGGCACUCGCCUCCCCUUUUUGUCGUAUACGUUGAUGAAGUGUUUCACGUGUCGCCAUGCUUCUUCUGAACUUGGAGCGUUUCAGACCUUCCUGCCUGUCACAGCAAUGUGCAUGCAUUGGAGUAAUAUGUGUGUCAUUAGACCAAUGAAAAAUGGAAGAUGGCUUCAUUAGAAAACUUUAGGAUAGGUUAGGAUUAUCCAGAACUCUACAACUAGGAAAAGUUUUGUUUUAUAGGAACAAUUAUAACCAUAUGCGUGAAUCUUUCAAUUUUGUUAAUAUUUUGUCUGUGGUGGUACUCAUGUAGUCAUGUCCUUCUUUCCCUUUCUGUCACAUAUGAUUAAUGAAGUGAUUCACGCGGUGACACACGUCUUUUAAACUUGGAGCAUUUCGCACCUUCCUGCCUGUCACAGCAAUACGCGUGUAAUGGAAUAAUCUGUGUCAUCUGACAAAUGGAGUAUGGAAGAAGGCUUAAUAAGAUAGCUUUAGGAUAUGACGGUAGUAUCAAGAACUUUAUAACUAGCUGCAAUUUUGUUUUAUUAGAACACACAGAUAUACCAUACGUAUAUGUUCUGUAUCUUAGACUUUUGUUACUUCCACGUUUGCGGGCAAUCACGUCUCUCAUCCCCUUUCUGUCGUGUACGAUCAAUGACGUAUUUUCCUUUUAGUGGAAGUGUUUUUUUUGUAGCACUUUACACUUCCUACCCGUCACAUUAAUUUGCAUGUUUAGGAAGAGUCUGUUUGUCAUCUGGCGAAUGCAUGUUGCUCACGUGUACCGUUCGUACUUCAUGAAUUCUGCAGCAUUUACAGGUUCCUGCCCUGUGACGUGGGCUUCAUCUGCCAAAUGGUAAAAUAUAGCAUAAGAUUGAAUAAGAUAGCUUCAGGAUAUGCUCACACUAAUUAACACCUAGCAGCUAAAAUAGCUUGGUUAUAUUCAAACUCAUAAUUAUGAUUCUGUAUUCAUACAUUUUCACAUUUUCUCUCGUGCGGUGGCAUUUCCCUCACUCCUUUUUUCCUUUUAAGAUUAAGAUUUGUAAGGAGCAUCUUAGGCGGAUCAUCCUUGGUUCUUGUGAAUGCUACAACAUUACACCAUUUCCCUGCAAUAUGCAAAAUUUUAAGAUACUCUCUAAUUGACCAAAUCGGAACAUUGGAUGAAGUUUUUAUGUGGUUUAGAGAACUCUUCAAUAACUUAUAACCUAGAAAGAAUUCAGAUUUGAGGGUCUAGUGUAAUUAUAAACCUAUCUUUUUGUGCUUUUUGAUGGCACAUCUUUCCUCUUGUUUACGACUUUCAGGAGUGUGUCAUGCAUUGACCUUACUUCCUUUGUUUGCACAUCAUUGUUUAACCCUAUACCUGCUAUUGACACCUGAGAUUUUGACAGUGAUCUAUUCCAUGUAUAUGAUACUUCUUGGGCACAAUGCUAAAGUGAACAGAACCAAAGCAUACAGUGGGGUCUUAUUUGAUACAUUAAAUUAUUUUUUAAAUUGAGAUAGCUUUGAUCGUUUUAUUAGGCCAUUUUACUCUUCGUAAAGGUCUUAUCAGUAUGAAAAAUUGCGGAGGACAAAAAAAUGACAUUCCAAUAGUAAGCUGGUAUAGUGGUAUACUAGAUGCGUUUUCCAAACAAUAUUGUGCGAGUAGGACUCAUCAAAUUAUUUUCCUUAUUGCUCGUCUCUUGUACUUACAACUUAGUUAAAUUCAAUAAUCUUAUUGUUGUUGUUGUAUAUAUUGUACUUAUGGUUGGUGCUUAUAGAAGAAAAAUAACAUGGGCUGCUUGAUUCAGUAAUUUGGUGAGACUAAGACACUUCCGUGGAAGGAGCUAUAUGAUAAUUAUGUACACUGCCUGGCAACUUACAACUUGGUUAAAUUCAAUAAUCUUUUUAUUUAUUGUACUUAUGGUUGGUGCUUAUAGAAGAAUAAUAAUAUCGGAUGUUUGAUUCAGUAUUUUGGUGAGACCAAGUCACUUCCGUGGACGAUAAUUAUGUACACUGCCUGGCAAGACAAUGGAGAGUUAAAAUUAUUUUAAAUUAAAAACAAAGACAUGUUUAAGUGAUUCCGUCUUUCCCACACGUUUUUUAAUUGGAUCUAUCAUUCUUUAUUUGUACGUUUUAACAAUUUCUUUUUAAGUGAAGUGUAUUAAAGAGUUCUAGUGAGGAGUGUGAGCUCCAGUACGUGAUUAUAAGAAAGCUACCUAACCAAAAACAAAGAUAAGCUCUCCAUGUGCACCUUGAUGUACUUAUUUUCACCGUGACAGGAAAAAUGCUGGUGCAUAGUGAUAUUUCAGAAAAAUUGGUCUUCAAAUACGUUUCUCCUUUAGCAGUUACUAGCUUGUCCGUGGCACACCUCACCAUAUUAUUUUUAACCAUUUUACCGCAUCAUCAUUUGCAUAAACUGCAUUGCUCCUACCACCAAUAAUAAUGCCUUCUGAGCUGCAGGCACUCAGCUUUUAAA